UCCCCAUCUGAACUUUUUUUUUUUUAAACUGACUUGUAAAAGGUGAAGCUAAAUGGCGGUGGCCUUCCGUGGAGGCCGGAACGGCGUCGGAUCAGGACUCCGCAGUUUCUUCUCGUACCGGAUCUUCAUCUCCGCCUUGUUCUCUUUUCUCUUCCUCGCCACCUUCUCCGUCGUCCUCAACUCCUCUCGUCACCAACCUCACCUAGAUCACGUAAGCUUUUCCCAAUCCGAAUCAAAAUUUAGAAAUGAAUUUAGAAUCUGAGCUUCGAUUUUUGGUGUUUAGACAUUGCCGAGGACGUUUCAAUCGGAUCCGUUGAAAACGAGGUUAGAUCUGAUCCACAAGCAAGCCACCGAUCACCUCACGCUUGUGAACGCUUACGCUGCUUACGCUAGGAAGCUGAAGCUCGACGCGUCGAAGCAGCUGAAGCUCUUCGAAGAUCUGGCGGUUAACUUCUCCGAUCUGCAGGCCAAACCUGGACUGAAGCUCGAAAACGGGAACGCGAUCGAGGAGGAUGCGUUUCGGCAGAUCGAGAAAGAGGUUAAAGAUAAGGUGAAGACCGCGAGGAUGAUGAUCGUUGAGUCCAAAGAGAGUUACGAUACACAGCUCAAGAUCCAGAAGCUCAAGGAUACGAUCUUCGCUGUUCAAGAACAGUUGACGAAAGCUAAGAAAAACGGCGCCGUUGCGAGCUUGAUCUCGGCUAAGUCGGUUCCCAAGAGUCUUAACUGUUUGGCUAUGAGGCUUGUUGGUGAGAGGAUCUCUAACCCUGAGAAGUAUAAGGAUGCUCCGUUUGAUUCGGCUGUGUUGGAGGAUCCGAGUCUUUAUCACUACGCGGUUUUCUCUGAUAAUGUGAUUGCUGUUUCCGUUGUGGUGAGGUCGGUUGUGGUGAACGCUGAGGAGCCGUGGAAGCAUGUGUUUCAUGUGGUGACUGAUAGGAUGAAUCUCGCCGCUAUGAAGGUUUGGUUUAAGAUGCGUCCUUUGGACCGUGGUGCUCGUGUUGAGAUUAAGUCGGUUGAGGAGUUUAAGUUCUUGAACUCUUCGUAUGCGCCGGUCUUGAGGCAGCUAGAGUCUGCUAAGUUGCAGAAGUUUUACUUUGAGAACCAGGCGGAGAACGCGACUAGAGAUGAACAUAACAUCAAGUUCAAGAACCCCAAGUAUCUCUCGGUGUUGAACCAUCUGAGAUUCUACUUACCGGAGAUGUAUCCGAAGCUGAAUAAGAUCUUGUUCUUGGACGAUGAUGUUGUGGUGCAGAAGGACGUGACUGGGUUGUGGAAGAUUAAUUUAGAUGGGAAGGUGAAUGGAGCUGUUGAGACGUGCUUUGGCUCUUUUCAUCGAUAUGGUCAAUACCUAAACUUCACUCAUCCUCUGAUCAAAGAGAGCUUUAAUUAGAGUCUGCUAAGUUGCAGAAGUUUUACUUUGAGAACCAGGCGGAGAACUCGACUAGAGAUGAACAUAACAUCAAGUUCAAGAACCCCAAGUAUCUCUCGGUGUUGAACCAUCUGAGAUUCUACUUACCGGAGAUGUAUCCGAAGCUGAAUAAGAUCUUGUUCUUGGACGAUGAUGUUGUGGUGCAGAAGGACGUGACUGGGUUGUGGAAGAUUAAUUUAGAUGGGAAGGUGAAUGGAGCUGUUGAGACGUGCUUUGGCUCUUUUCAUCGAUAUGGUCAAUACCUAAACUUCACUCAUCCUCUGAUCAAAGAGAGCUUUAACCCCAAUGCUUGUGCUUGGGCCUUUGGGAUGAAUAUAUUUGAUCUCAAUGCUUGGAGGCGUGAGAAAUGCACUGAUCAAUACCAUUACUGGCAGAACUUGGUAAGUCCGUAUCUUUUCUUUGUAACUUAUGCAUAUCAAAUAAUCUCUUUAUCUUGUGUUGAUUGUGUGUUAAUCUCUCUUGAGCAGAAUGAAGACAGAAGUCUCUGGAAAUUAGGCACUCUGCCUCCGGGACUGAUGACAUUCUAUUCAAAGACGAAAUCACUGGACAAGUCAUGGCAUGUGCUUGGGUUAGGCUACAACCCAGGAGUGAGCAUGGACGAGAUUAAAAAAGCAGCAGUGAUACAUUACAAUGGAAACAUGAAACCAUGGCUCGACAUUGCUAUGAACCAAUACAAGUCUCUCUGGACUAAAUACGUCGACAACGAAAUGGAGUUUGUGCAGAUGUGCAAUUUUGGUCUUUAAAGAAAGAUAUCGAUGAAGAGGUAACCUCAAAUCGAUAUGUGUUCAGUCAUUCAGGGCAUUCUUUAGCUUAUAUACGUUUAUCUUUUACUAGGGAUUGGUCCGCCCUACGGGCGGGUAAGUUUACAAUAAAAUUCUUUAUAUUAAAAUAUAUUUUAAUUUUAUAAAACAUUUAAAAAUUAUUUUAAGUAUAAUUUGUUUUCUAAGAUCAUAUUGUAAAUUUCAUUUGUUAAACGUUAAACAACUGUUAUAAAUUUUCUUCUAAUAUCAUACCUUAUUUGUUAUUUGAGUUUCUAAGAAAAUGUAAAUUGGUAGUGCAUUAGGUUUGCAUUUGGAAUUGAUAUGUGUGAUACUGAUUUUAGUUUUUUUAAAAUGUUGUGUGUCAGGAAGUGUGAUUGCAUGAGGUCAUUUGGAUGAGGAAUUAAAUGUGAUGUGAGUGAGUUUGUAUGCUUCUGAAACUGAUUUAUAGUAUACAAUACCAGUAAAUUUGAUUUGUAUGAACAAUUUGAAUUGGAGAAGAAGUGUUCGGUUAAUAUAUUUCAAAACUUUAUGGGCUUUCAAGGAUUUUUGUGUUGUUGGUCGUUUAAGUUUGGAAUCCACACUCCAUUGAGUAACUGUUUUUUUUUUGCGCUUGGGAGCUCGUCAUCGUUUUGCUUGGAGUAUUUAUUUUUGCAAAACAGUUGAUAUUUAUACUUAUAUCAAGUGAUUCGUAAUAAAUUUAUGGUUAAACAUUUGGCCUCACAAUGUCUAUUUUAGUUAUUUCAAUCUCAUAGGAAUGAGUUUAUUUGUUUUAUACAACCAAUUCUCAUAGUUUAAUGUGAGUGACAUUCAUCCUACAUAAAAGUUGAAUAGGAGUAGUGUGUACUUUGUUUAAUCAUUUAUAAUCAGUUGGUAUAUUUUCUCUUUUUCAUAGUGGGAUGAUUGGUUUAAAGAACUUUAAUGGCAAAAAAGGAACCUUAAUGGCAAUCUGAAUUACGUUGGUUGAAUGAUGAUCUAAGGCAUAGCAAAGUCGGAUUUAGAAAGGUGGUAAAAUCAAGAUUUAGCCAUAGGUCAAUGAAAAUGUUAAACCGAUGGAGGCAUUAGUAGGAAAGCAAUGGUUUGUCAGCUCGAUCAGUUGGUCUAAAUGUUAAAUUAGUAACGCCAAUUAAAACCAAAGAUUCCAAUAGGAAAACUUGAAAAAACUUGUGAAAUGGAAGGUUUUGAACACGAAUGGGUUCAUUUAGUAUAUUGAUAUGUUUGUGAUUUUAAUGUUUUUAUUUGUGUGUUCCUCGGUUAAUUUAUUCUCAAAUGUUUUUAUAUGCUUAUUUGAUGAUAAGUGAUUUUUUUUAUAACAUGAUUAAGAUUAGCAAUUUUGUGAUAAGUUAACUAUCACAUUAUGUGUCAUGUUUUACAAUUAUAUUUAUUCAUAUUUUGGUUUCCUAAUAUUAUAAUUAUUAUUUUUAUAGGUAUUUUAACGGCUAAUGACUAAUUUUUUAGUUGUUGAUUUAUAUUUGUAAUAGUAAUUAAAAAUUCUAAAUUAUUGUUCUGCUUUAUUUUACUUAACUUUGCUUUCAAUUAAUAUUUAUUUUAUUAAUUGUGUUUUUACAGUCUUAAUAUUGUUUUUUUUUGGAAUUACCAUUUUCAUUAUAAAUUAAAAGGUUUUGGUUCAGUAUAUUUAUGUAUUAGUAUAGCUUUUUCGUUUCUAGAUUGAAGAGAAAAAACAAUGAAAAUAUUUGAAGUUUAAUAGAAUUUCAAAUUAAAUGUUAUAUAAAUUAUAUAAAUAUUUGAUACACGUCAUUUUAUAUUUAUUAUUUUAGUUUUUAUUUAGAUUUGUAACAAUUUAUGUAACUGGAAUUUUUAUCACAAAUAUACAAUUUAAUUGUCCCAGCAUAUCUUUACAUUUUAAUCAAUAUGUUUAAUUAAUGUUAUUUCAUAUUCGUUUGAUUGUAAUUUCGAUAUUGGUCAUCAUGUUUGUUACGGUUAGUAUAGCACAUCAAAAUUGUGAGAAUCUGAGAACCUGUUUUUGUAAGCUUCCACUCUUUGGCUCAACAGCCCCAUAGUAUGGAAUCGAAACCUGUUUGGGCACUUAUACAACCAAUUUGAGCAUGGAAGAGUGUGAUUCUUGUCGUGUCUAAAACUUGUGAGCAGAAGUUGGGUUACGGAACUAAAGACGAUAAGUGAUAAUCGUAGGAAUUUUCUUUAUUGUUAGGAUAAUUUCAAGACAGAGGAGAUGAUUUCAGGGUGCCCAAAUACAAAGUAAAGAUAAUCUUAUUCAAGAGUUGUGUUAUAAAGUCUUGUGUGCCUUCUUUGAUGGGACCCUCUGGCGCAGGAAACAGAGCUUCUCCAGCAGUGUUUCCGCUCAAUACAUUAGGUACUCCAGGUGAUGUGUCCGUAUCACUUCGUUCGUCCGCCGGUCGGUUAUGCUUCUGGAGGUGUUCUCGGACCCAUGGAGUCAGAGCCAUUGCAGAAGAUACACGUAGAUACUCUAUUUUUAUGCACCUCCACAAUUAUCAGAACUGGAUGAUCAGUUGACGUCACUCCCACGCAAUCUGCAGUUGAGAACGUGUAAGAUUCUUGAGAAAGUGUGUAGGAGGGAAGUGAUACAAACAUCCUGUUGUUCAAGAUUCUUACUCUUGGAAGAAGCUCUAGCCAGAGCCGCUUUCAUUGUUAAAGUAGAAAUGAGUGUCAGAUGUUGUAUUAAGGAAUAGUCGACCUGCAAGCAGAACUAAGUAAGCUCCAUAAGAUGUUCUGAAUCAGAACUUCUGAUGCACAAAGUGAAUGCACAGACUCUGUGAUCUUGACGAUCUGGGUAAGUUAGGUGUAGAUCGCAACUGUUGAGUCUGAAAAUCUGAAGUGAUUGUUGAUUCUGUAAGACUAUGUAGCAAAUUUUGAAUAAGCUAGUUGUGGAGUUCAUUCACAGAGUGCUCUCGCUCCUUAGUUGUGGCAGCUUUAGUGUUUGCUUCCUCGAUAUUCGUAGAAGUUUAAAAAAAAAAUGAAAGAAUACAAAAAUAAAUAGUUGAUAAGCUGUAUAGCAGUGAUUUUCAAAAUAGUGUGGGCAUAAAAAUGAAAAUUUGGAUAUAUUAGUCGACACAUACUCUAGUGAAAGACAUUACCUUGUUACAAUAUGCAAUCUCCAACUGUUUAAUGUUUCUGGCCUCUAAGCACACACCAGUUAUCUCCAUUCCAGUACACGGGGAAACAAUGCCUCCUCACCAAGUUCAACAUGUCAGAAACAUAGAUUGGAUAUAAGCACUCUAAAGGUUAAACAUGUUAACAUUUUAAAACACUGCAGAGAACAAUGGUACCUCAUAUAGACGACUCUAAACAGGUGCACCAGCUAUCCCCUCUUGUAGAAGACGCAAAAUCUUCUGAAAGAGUUUUAAUUGAUUGCUUAUUCGAGUUACUUUUAAGGAAUGGAAGUAAACCUGGUGAUCGGCGGUGGGACUGUCUAGUGGAGAUGAUGCGAGCGCCGAUGUUGUCCUGUCGAAUCUGCUGCGCUGAACCAGUUCCUGUUGUUUUAAAUCACAUUAAUCAGACCAAAUAUUAUGCGAGUAUAUUCAUUCUUCAAUUAAUUAUUGAGUGGCAAAAUUAAAAAUGAAAUAAUCAAUUGUUACAAAAUGGACAGAAACUUUAUGUUUGUUUAAUUUUUUUAAAAAUUUUGUGCAGUUAAGUGUUAGUUGAUAAUAAUUUUACGCAAACAAUACUUUUAAGUAUUUAAGCUGCUGGUUUCAAAUACUUUGGUAAUAAAAUGUUAAUGUCCUAAAGUAUAAGGGUGAGACUGGGGUUUUAAUAAUAUUGAGAGUUUAUAUCUACACUAUAAAUUAGUAAUUGUUUAUUAAACCAAUGAUUAAUGACAUUAACGUGUCUUCUUCACUAAAAUGUCUUGAGAUCUCUAUCCAUCCCAUCACUCUCCAGAGGCUAAUUCACACUCUAUCGGGCAAGCAAGAACCUCAUCCCCAUCUGAACUUUUUUUUUUUUAAACUGACUUAUAAAAGGUAAAGCUAAAUGGCGGUGGCCUUCCAUGGAGGCCGGAACGGCGUCGGAUCGGGACUCCGCAGUUUCUUCUCGUACCGGAUCUUCAUCUCCGCCUUGUUCUCUUUCCUCUUCCUCGCCACCUUCUCCGUUGUCCUCAACUCCUCUCGUCACCAACCUCAUCUCGAUCACGUAAGCUUCCGAUUCGUUUCACAAUCCGAAUCAAAAUUUAGAAAUGAAUUUAGAAUCUGAGCUUCGAUUUUUGGUGUUUAGACAUUGCCGAGGACGUUUCAAUCGGAUCCGUUGAAAGCUAGGUUAGAUCUGAUCCACAAGCAAGCCACCGAUCACCUCACGCUUGUGAACGCUUACGCUGCUUACGCUAGGAAGCUCAAGCUCGACGCGUCGAAGCAGCUGAAGCUCUUCGAAGAUCUGGCGGUUAACUUCUCCGAUCUGCAGGCCAAACCUGGACUGAAGCUCGAAAACGGGAACGCGAUCGAGGAGGAUGCGUUUCGGCAGAUCGAGAAAGAGGUUAAAGAUAAGGUGAAGACCGCGAGGAUGAUGAUCGUUGAGUCCAAAGAGAGUUACGAUACACAGCUCAAGAUCCAGAAGCUCAAGGAUACGAUCUUCGCUGUUCAAGAACAGUUGACGAAAGCUAAGAAAAACGGCGCCGUUGCGAGCUUGAUCUCGGCUAAGUCGGUUCCCAAGAGUCUUAACUGUUUGGCUAUGAGGCUUGUUGGUGAGAGGAUCUCUAACCCUGAGAAGUAUAAGGAUGCUCCGUUUGAUUCGGCUGUGUUGGAGGAUCCGAGUCUUUAUCACUACGCGGUUUUCUCUGAUAAUGUGAUUGCUGUUUCCGUUGUGGUGAGGUCGGUUGUGGUGAACGCUGAGGAGCCGUGGAAGCAUGUGUUUCAUGUGGUGACUGAUAGGAUGAAUCUCGCCGCUAUGAAGGUUUGGUUUAAGAUGCGUCCUUUGGACCGUGGUGCUCGUGUUGAGAUUAAGUCGGUUGAGGAGUUUAAGUUCUUGAACUCUUCGUAUGCGCCGGUCUUGAGGCAGUUAGAGUCUGCUAAGUUGCAGAAGUUUUACUUUGAGAACCAGGCGGAGAACUCGACUAGAGAUGAACAUAACAUCAAGUUCAAGAACCCCAAGUAUCUCUCGGUGUUGAACCAUCUGAGAUUCUACUUACCGGAGAUGUAUCCGAAGCUGAAUAAGAUCUUGUUCUUGGACGAUGAUGUUGUGGUGCAGAAGGACGUGACUGGGUUGUGGAAGAUUAAUUUAGAUGGGAAGGUGAAUGGAGCUGUUGAGACGUGCUUUGGCUCUUUUCAUCGAUAUGGUCAAUACCUAAACUUCACUCAUCCUCUGAUCAAAGAGAGCUUUAACCCCAAUGCUUGUGCUUGGGCCUUUGGGAUGAAUAUAUUUGAUCUCAAUGCUUGGAGGCGCGAGAAAUGCACAGAUCAAUACCAUUACUGGCAGAACUUGGUAAGCCCCAUAUCUUUCUUAGUAACUUAUGCAUUUCAAAAAAUCUCUUUUAUCUUGUGUUGAUUGUGUGCUAAUCUCUGAGCAGAAUGAAGACAGAAGUCUCUGGAAAUUAGGCACUCUGCCUCCGGGACUGAUGACAUUCUAUUCAAAGACGAAAUCACUGGACAAGUCCUGGCAUGUGCUUGGGUUAGGCUACAACCCGGGAGUGAGCAUGGACGAGAUAAAAAAAGCAGCAGUGAUACAUUACAAUGGGAACAUGAAACCAUGGCUAGACAUUGCUAUGAACCAAUACAAGUCUCUCUGGACUAAAUACGUCGACAACGAAAUGGAGUUUGUGCAGAUGUGCAAUUUUGGUCUUUAAAGAAAGAUAUCGAUGAAGAGGUAACCUCAAAUCGAUAUAUGUUCAGUCAUUCAGGGCAUUCUUUAGCUUAUAUACGUUUAUCUUUUAUAUAUUAUAUAGGGUUACAAAAGUGUUUUGCUUUGUUCUUUCUGUCAUAGUUUUGUUCUUUAUUUAUAUUUUGUGUAACUCUUUCACAUCAAAAGCUUUAUCCAAAACUACAAUGUGUUAAGGUUUGUUUCAUGCAAAGUUUUGACUUAUGAUUGAAACAUUAAAGAGAAAUGGAUUAGGAAGAUAAUGAAUUUUUAUCAUAUGUUGAUUUAGUUUCAUUUUAUUACUAAAAUCAUGAUGAGCUAACUACUUUACAAAACACAAUAAGAUUUUAUCAUAUGUUUGUAUAUCUACAAAAAUAGUUAGAAAUUCAACAAAGUUGUUAUGACCGUUUCUCACCGCAAGACAGAAACUCAAAGAUCCUGUCUCGAGUCAAUGUACGUCCAAACUGCACAAACCCAUCGCACCUUCCGGUCUCUCUGUCUAGGUCAACGAGCGUUGACUUCAAUUUCUCCAGUUCCUCCUCCAUCCCUCCCAUAGCAAAUGCCACAGACGACCGUUUAUUCACGGCGAUGUCCACCGUUAGUCUAAUGGAUCUCUCCACCGCCUCCAACAUACUCACAAGUCUGCUCAUCUUCUCAACCUCCUUGAGAGCCACCAUCGUUUCCCUCUCCAUCGACGUCACUGCUGUCUUUUCCCGUUUCAGAGUUUCCGACGACUCUCUCCACCUCGAAGCAGCAAAGUUAGUCACUGCUUCAACCGGUACAGGUACAAAGAUACCCGCCACGAUUUUUCCCACGGCCACUAGAGCGAUCAUCGCCGCCGCAACCUUGAUCCUUGGAUGCUGUCUUUAUGGAGUACAUUAUAUCAGAUCAAUCCAAAAUACUUUCCUAAAGGUCCAGAUGUGAUGAUUCCUCAAGAUGAAUUAACUGAUCAGCCCAAAUAUAGGAUCUUAUAUCAUAAGCAGGAGACACUGGAGCCUGAAUUGAUGGCAGAGUCAGGUACACCAAGUUUUUAUUCCUAUCAUGUUUUUAAGGAGGGGAUUCAUGGUGUGGAUACUUUGCUCCAUCAUGUUAGCUUAGGACUAUGUUAUGCUACUUAACAGUGAACUUUCUGUCUAGUUAAUAAUGGUAAUUGCUAGAAAAAUGUCAAUGUAGAGAAAUGACUUUUAAUGUUCUGGUUCAGUUGGCUCGUGAACUCUUGCAUAAUAUGCCUCUUAUUGUUUUAGCAGACAUCAUAGAAAGAGCCCGUGGAAUGUCACCCGGAAAAUUAUCCAAGGACAAAACUAAACCAGACUGCUUUCUCAAGAUGGUACUAUGCACAUCCAUUAUAUUUUUUUUUUGAUUUUAUGUUAUAUAUGCUAUGCAACCUUGCUGGUUAUGCUAUUUUUUUAUGCUGUGUUACCUUGAAUACGGAUUUGAUGGUCCUUCUUGGUCAAAAUAUGUUUUCUUAAAAUAUCUUAUUUCUGGUAAGCCUGGAUGAUAUGAGUUUUAUUCCCUUGGCUUGCAUUUAAAUAUUUCAAUCAUGCAGAUUAAAAAUGAAGUCUUGACGAAAGCUGGAAGUACAAAGGAUGUCCGCCACUUCGAGUUCCAAUUUGUUUCUUCUGUAAGUAACUUUGCUAUCACUUACUAACUAGUUUCAAUCAAUUUCUCCUCUUUUAUGAAGUGGUUGUUCAAUUAAUUUCUCCUCUUUGUUUUUUUUUUAAUUCAUUUAAGAGUAUCAAAUAUGAAGUGGGCGAUGUUGUUGAGCUUCUUCCAAGCCAAGAUUCUUCAGCAAUAGAUGCGUUUAUAAAACGCUGUCAUUUGGACCCGGAAUCAUUCAUCACAGUAAGUAGCUCCACUCUGUUGACAUGAUGAUCCCAGAUUGUCUAACUGAAGUAAAUUUUGAUAACUAAUUUACUUUCAGGUUUGUCCGAGAGAGACAGUGAAUAAUGGUUCAUGUGGAGAAGUAAUUACACACCAUGUCCCUAUCAAGCUUAAGACUUUUGUUGAAUUAACAAUGGACGUUACAUCUGCUUCACCUCGACGAUACUUCUUCGAGGUAAGAGUCCUAAUGAUCUUGAAUAUCAGAUUUUUAUAAUGUAAUUUUAAGUAUUUGAUGGAAGUCGUUACAAUGUAUCUUCUCGGUGUCAGGUUAUGAGCUUCUAUGCAACAGCUGAACUUGAGAAGGAAAGACUGCAAUACUUUGCCUCAGCCGAGGGACGUGAUGACCUCUACAAUUACAAUCAGAAGGAAAGAAAAAGCGUCCUUGAGGUAACCAAUUGGGGACACCAUGAUUCGUCUUGAACCAAAUAGAUCUUAUUGCUACUGCCUAUGUAGGUGCUAGAGGAUUUCUCUUCCGUGCAAAUGCCUUUUGAGUGGCUAGUACAGUUAGUACCAUCGCUAAAACCACGAGCUUUUUCGAUAUCUUCAUCUCCUUUGGCCCACCCUGGUCAAGUACAUUUGACAGUAAGCGUGGUAUCAUGGAUCACCCCUUCAUACCCUUAUAAGAGAACUCGAAAAGGUCUAUGCUCCUCUUGGCUCGCAAGCCUCACACCUGAGCAAGGUUAGCACUGUGUUUCUAUGUAUUAUUUUAACUGACUCAGGUCUUUGUUUCUACGUAUUUAUCUUACAUUUUGUGUUCCGUUGUGUUUAGAGAUAAACAUACCGAUUUGGUUUCACAAAGGCUCUCUUCCUGCUCCACCACAGUCGCUUCCACUCAUCUUAGUGGGACCUGGAACCGGAUGUGCCCCUUUCCGCGGGUUCAUAGCUGAGAGAGCCGUGCAAGCUCAGACCAGCCCGAUCGCACCAGUCAUGUUCUUCUUUGGUUGCAGGAACAAAGACACUGACUUUUUAUACAAAGACUUCUGGGAGUCUCAUGCAAGAGAAGGAGGCAUGCUCUCUGAAGUAAAAGGCGGAGGGUUUUACACAGCAUUCUCUAGAGACCAACCGAAGAAGGUUUACGUGCAACACAGGAUACUAGAGAUGAGGAAGAAAGUUUGGGAUUUGCUAUGUGAUGGAGCCGCCGUUUACGUGGCGGGCUCGUCCACGAAAAUGCCUUGUGAUGUGAUGUCGGCCUUGGAGGAGAUUGUGAUGGAGGAGACCGGAGGAUCAAAGGAAAUGGCUUCACGGUGGCUCAAGGCUUUGGAGAAAGCUGGGAGAUACAAUGUUGAAGCUUGGUCUUAAACCCAACUUCCUCCAUAUCAUGUAAUGUUUGAUUACUAGCUAUACGAAUCAUUGGAUUAUUUAUUUAUUUAAAUUGAUUUUAUAAUAUUCACAUUGAACGGUUCAAAUGAAGAUGAUUUGUUUGAUUGUAUACAUUUGAACUUUAUUUAUAAUUUAAUUUUAAUUUUUUUUAUAUAACGAGGUUCUUACCUUUUUCAUUUUAACUAGAGUUUGUUGAAUAAAUCAUUCACCUCACUGAAUAAUACAAGAUUUCAGUGUUUAUAUAAAAAUCAUCAAUUAAAUAACAUCAGAUUUUAAACAGAACUGAAAAUCAACGUACAAUGUCAAUUACUCAAUUUUUUUAUUUAUUAAUUUAUUGUAUAAUAACACUUUAGUUAUUUUUCAAAUGUUUUCGAUCGGCAAAUUUAAUAGAAUAUAUUUAUUCUUCAAUUAAUCAUUGAGUGGCAAAAUUAAAAAUGAAAUAAUCAAUUGUUAUAAAAUGGACAGAAACUAUUAUUUUUCUAAAUUUGUUUAUUUUUUUAAAAAAAAUUGUGCAGUCAAAGUGUUAGUUGAUAAUAAUUCUACACAAACAAUACUUUCAAGUAUUAAAGCUGCUGGUUUCAAAUACUUUGGUAAUAAAAUGUUAAUGUCCUAAAGUAUAUAGGUGAGACUGGGGUUUUAAUAAUAUUGAGAGUUUAUAUCUACACUAUAAAUUAGUAAUUGUUUAUUAAACCAAUGAUUAAUGACAUUAACGUGUCUUCUUCACUAAAAUGUCUUGAGAUCUCUAUCCAUCCCAUCACUCUCCAGAGGCUAAUUCACACUCUAUCGGGCAAGCAAGAACCUCAUCCCCAUCUGAACUUUUUUUUUUUUAAACUGACUUAUAAAAGGUAAAGCUAAAUGGCGGUGGCCUUCCAUGGAGGCCGGAACGGCGUCGGAUCGGGACUCCGCAGUUUCUUCUCGUACCGGAUCUUCAUCUCCGCCUUGUUCUCUUUCCUCUUCCUCGCCACCUUCUCCGUUGUCCUCAACUCCUCUCGUCACCAACCUCAUCUCGAUCACGUAAGCUUCCGAUUCGUUUCACAAUCCGAAU
rnacentral:lncRNA from 1 species